rnacentral:rRNA from 1 species
AGUGAACGCUGGCGGUAGGCCUAACACAUGCAAGUCGAACGGCAGCACAGUAAGAGCUUGCUCUUACGGGUGGCGAGUGGCGGACGGGUGAGGAAUACAUCGGAAUCUACUUUUUCGUGGGGGUUAACGUAGGGAAACUUACGCUAAUACCGCAUACGACCUACGGGUGAAAGCAGGGGAUCGUCGGACCUUGCGCGAUUGAAUGAGCCGAUGUCGGAUUAGCUGGUUGGCGGGGUAAAGGCCCACCAAGUCGACGAUCCGCUGCCGGUGUGGGAGGAUGGUCACCCACCUUGGAGCUGGACCGGCGUCCAGGGUCCUGCGGGACGCCGCAGUGGGGAAUGUUGGACAACGGGCGCAAACCUGGUCCAGCCGUCCCGCGUGGGUGACGACGGCCUUCGGGUUGUAAAGCCCUUUUGUUGGGAAAGAAACGCAGCCGGUUAAUACCCAGCUGUUCUGACGGUACCCAAAGAAUAAGCACCGGCUAACUUCGUG